GCCAGAACUCCGCCUGUAGCUCUUUUAGAGUUACUGCCGGUUCCAAGCCCGGGUAAAGGAGGAGGGUUGGG
ncrna:Schistosoma mansoni type-P1 twister ribozyme